GAUGAACGCUGGCGGCGUGCCUAAUACAUGCAAGUCGAGCGAACAGACGCGGCUCUUGCUCCUCUGACGUUAGCGGCGGACGGGUGAGUAACACGUGUAUAACCUACCUAUAAUACUGGUAUAACUUCGGGACACCGGCGCUAAUCCCGUAUAAUCUCUUGCACCGCAUUGUUCAAUAGUGAAAGACGGUUUUGCUGUCACUUAUAGAUGGAUCCGCGCCUCAUUAGCUAGUUGGUAAGGUAACGGCUUACCAAGGCGACGAUGCGUAGCCGACCUGAGAGGGUGAUAGGCCACAUGGGAGCGGAGACACGGUCAAGACGACUACGGGAGGCAGCAGUAGGGAAUGGGACGCAAUGGGCGAAAGCCUGACGGAGCAACGCCGCGUGAGUGAUGAAGGUCUUCGGAGCGUAAAACUCUGUUAUGAGGGAAGAACAAAUGUGUAAGGAACUAUGCACGGAGUGACGGUACCGAAUAAGAAAGCCACGGCUAACUACGUG
rnacentral:rRNA from 1 species